UAAGACGUAGGAUGCAAGCGUUGUCCGGAAUCAUUGGGCGUAAAGAGUUCGUAGGCGGUAUGUAAAGUCUGGUGUUAAAGCCUGAGGCUCAACCUCAGUUCGGCAUCGGAUACUUACAAACUAGAGUGCAAUAGAGGUAGGGGGAAUUCCUAGUGUAGCGGUGAAAUGCGUAGAUAUUAGGAGGAACACCGGUGGCGAAAGCGCCCUACUGGGUUGUAACUGACGCUGAGGAACGAAAGCCAGGGUAGCAAAUGGG
rnacentral:rRNA from 1 species